rnacentral:lncRNA from 1 species
UAUAUCCUAGAUCUCUUUUGGUUUUUGGAUCAGAGCUGAGGCAAGCUUCUUUUACAAAUUUGUGCUGCAGUCUACUAAAAGAGCUGUUCCCUGCCAGGAGAAUAUUACAUACAGUUCUGAGAAAAAUGAACAGAGUCAGCUUGUUUGAGAGCUAACUGAUGCUUACUCACAACACUGAUAAGCCUGACAUUUACUGAGAAGUGCCACAAUUUUCAGUCCAAUGAAAAAUCCCAAGAGGAUGGUUUGUGGUUUUUUUUUUUUUUUUCAGUGAUGCUUCACAUUCUAUUGACUCAGGAUAAGCUGGAGUUUUCUGAAGUAUUUUAGUCAAAAAAAAUAAUGGAGCCCAACUCCUCCGCUUGAAUUACAUACAGAUGUACUAGUCUUCCUUGGCACAUUUGUUAAUGAUUGUGAUCAGAAGCUCUGGCCUCAAACCGCUCUGGGUAUGUGAUGCGAUAGCCAGGUGUGCAAGGAAGACAGUAGCUGAAGCAAUUGCUGAAGCAUUAGUGACUAUCCUGGAAGUUCUCGGAAGUGCAGGACUGAACCAGCGAUGCUGUAGCUGAGGGGAGGCAGAGGUUGGCAGCUGAGGGCUGGAGCUGCAGCCACAUCCUCAAAUUGCAGCAGUGGAGUUUGUUGCUGUGGUUGUGCUGGGGCUGCUGGGGCAAGAGCUGGGUUAGCUGAGUGCUGCAGUGCCUCUCAAGCUGGUGAAAGAGCUACAGGUGAGUGGUUUUUUUUCUUUUUUGGGAAAAAUCCUUCUG